rnacentral:rRNA from 1 species
UACGUAGGGCGCAAGCGUUGUCCGGAAUUAUUGGGCGUAAAGAGCUCGUAAGCGGCUUGUCACGUCGGAUGUGAAAGCCCGGGGCUUAACUCCGGGUCUGCAUUCGAUACGGGCAGGCUAGAGUUCGGUAGGGGAGAUCGGAAUUCCUGGUGUAGCGGUGAAAUGCGCAGAUAUCAGGAGGAACACCGGUGGCGAAGGCGGAUCUCUGGGCCGAUACUGACGCUGAGGAGCGAAAGCGUGGGGAGCGAACAGG